rnacentral:rRNA from 1 species
AUUGAACGCUGGCGGCAGGCCUAACACAUGCAAGUCGAGCGAGCGGCGGACGGGUGAGUACUGUCUGGGAAACUGCCUGAUGGAUGGGGAUAACUACUGGAAACGCUAGCUAAUACCGCAUACCAUCAGAUGUGCCCAGAUGGGAUUUGCUAGUGGGUGGGGUAAUGGCCCACCUAGGCGACGCUCCCUAGCUGGUGUGAGAGGAUGACCAGCCACACUGGAACUGAGACAGGGUCCGGACUCCGACGGGAGGCAGCAGUGGGGAGUAUUGCACAAGGGGCGCAAGCCUGAUGCAGCCAUGCCGCGUGUGUGAAGAAGGCCUUCGGGGUGUAAAGCACGUUCAGCGGUGAGGCGUUACCCGCAGAAGAAGCACCGGCUAACGCCGUGCCAGCCGCCGCGGUAAUAC